rnacentral:rRNA from 1 species
GGAUUAGUAGGCUGGUCGUGCCACCGGUACGUACUGGUCUUACUGAUUCCUCCUUCCUGAUGAACUGUAAUGCCAUUAAUUUGGUGUUGCAGGGAAUCUGGACUGUUACUUUGAAAAAAUUAGAGUGUUUAAAGCAGGCUAACGCUUGAAUACAUUAGCAUGGAAUAAUGAAAUAGGACGUUCGAUCCUAUUUUGUUGGUUUCUAGGAUUGACGUA